UUGUUGAAAGAAUCAAUCCUCGUGUAUGUUGGGCAGCUAUAAAUGCAAUCAAGGAGUUUCCAAGAAUGUUAUGCCUGAAUUUUAUAGAAAAUGGUGUGAGUAGCAUACCAGAGAGUACUGAAAUGGCAUAUCUCAUGCCCUGAAAAUCAAAUUGAUGAAGUAUUUUGUUCUACAGAAGAAUGGUAGGAGGUUAUACAUUCAAGUGGCAUCUCUUACUCCCCAAAAAGAUCAAAUUGGUUAGUAGUGCAGGGUAACUGCUAUAACCUCUGUUUCAAAGAAUCCUACACGUACUGAUUGCUGACAACAGUGUGGAGAGUUUGUGAGAGUCUCUUCACAGAAUGGUGGCUUGGAAUAUUGCAUUUGAUCAGUAAGAUAAUUCGGUUCAGAGAGAAAACUCGAGGCCAACGAAGAAUGCUUCUUUAUUUACUGAAACAAUGCAGAAGAUGCAACAAGCUAGAAAACCAUGGUCCCAGAUUCAUGGAUGAGACUAGCUGGGAGAAUGCAGGAAGGCUUUAUUUCAACUUCAAAACUCGAGGAUCCUGAAGAUAUUAAUGGCCUCAGUCACAUGGCCUGUGCUCAUUGUAGCCAUUCCUGCUAUUGUACUUUCAAAAUAUGUUCAGGGAUAUUAUCCCUCCUCAGCAAGAGACUUAAUGAGAAUGAAUGGAACAACCAAAGCACCCAUUUUGAAUUUCGCAGCUUUUAACAAGAUGGAUAUGUUCUUCCAAAACUACCUUAAGCUCGUUGACACAGACGCAAGGCUUUUCUUCCAUUCUAAUGCUGCUACGGAGUGGUUAGUUUUACGAAUUGAAGCAAUUCAGAAUCUGAUUGUAUUCGCUGCUGCUCUUUUUAUAGUUCUGCUUCCUGGAAAACAUUUACCAGCUAAUUCCAA